UGAUAGUGCCGCGGACGCUCUGUUAUUCCUGCUCUGCGUCUGUGGUCGCCAAUGCUUCCUUUGUGGACUUCUCUGCGCGAUUUCCGAGUAUCUUGCAAGAAUUUGAAGAUGGCCAGGUAGAACUAGAAUUCUGGACCUGUGCGAUUCCAGCGACGAACACCACUAACCUGAGCUAUGAAGCAGAGCAUGGGGAUCUCAGAUCCAAUGAACCUCCGCUCUCUACGAUUGCUCUUCCAGCAACUGUACCAUGUCAUUGUCGUAAGACUUAAUUUAGCCGGCUUGCUUUGUCAGCUCUCAUACUUACUCAUGUGUCUGACUCCAGUCCUUAGGUGUAUUGAAACUGAAAUUUCCCGCGUCAUCAGACGAUCCAUGGCUGCAACAUCACACUUCUGAAUUGACCAUUAACCGCCCCAUGUUAAUCCCACCUGCUUGUUUACAUUAUCAGUUGGGGAGUAGUAGGCUGUCUAUUUUCGAUCGAUUGGUUUCUGCAAGUUGAUCCCGAAAGGGACUGCCGACCUGAAAGUAUUCCAUGGCUCUAUCUGAAAAAAGAAAUUCGAUACGUAUCAUUAUUUAAAAACAAAUGAAAACUCAAUAUAAUAGUACGGAGUAUAUUUUAUUUUUUAUUUCAACAGGGAAUUAAUCGCUCACUGUUUAAUCUCGCCGUGCUUUUUGCAGUGGACAUCGUGUCGGCGCAACAGAGGUUCGGCAUCAACU
rnacentral:lncRNA from 1 species